AUUGAACGCUGGCGGCAGGCCUAACACAUGCAAGUCGAGCGAGCGGCGGACGGGUGAGUAAUGUAUGGGGACUGCCCGAUAGCGGGGGAUAACUACUGGAAACGGUAGCUAAUACCGCAUACUAUCGGCUACCCCAUAUGGGAUUAGCUCGUAGGUGAGGUAAUGGCUCACCUAGGCGACGAUCCCUAGCUGGUCUGAGAGGAUGAUCAGCCACACUGGGACUGAGACACGGCCCAGACUCCUACGGAGGCAGCAGUGGGUAAUAUUGCACAAUGGGCGCAAGCCUGAUGCAGCCAUGCAGCGUGUAUGAAGAAGGCCCUAGGGUUGUAAAGUACUUUCGGUCGGGAGGCGUUACCGACAGAAGAAGCACCGGCUAACUCCGUGCCAGCAGCCGCGGUAAUAC
rnacentral:rRNA from 1 species